GACGAACGCUGGCGGCGUGCUUAACACAUGCAAGUCGAACGGACUGAAAGAAAAGCUUGCUUUUCUGGACGUUAGUGGCGGACGGGUGAGUAACGCGUGGGUAACCUGCCUUUAAGAGGGGGAUAACACUCCGAAAGGAGUGCUAAUACCGCAUAACAUCAGAUUAUUGCAUGAUAGACUGAUCAAAGGAGAAAUCCGCUUAAAGAUGGACCCGCGUCUGAUUAGCUAGUUGGUGAGGUAACGGCUCACCAAGGCGACGAUCAGUAGCCGGCCUGAGAGGGUGAUCGGCCACACUGGGACUGAGACACGGCCCAGACUCCUACGGGAGGCAGCAGUGGGGAAUCUUCCGCAAUGGGCGCAAGCCUGACGGGGCAACGCCGCGUGAGUGAAGAAGGUUUUCGGAUUGUAAAACUCUGUCUUCAGGGAAGAAACAAAUGACGGUACCUGAGGAGGAAGCCCCGGCUAACUACGUGCCAGCCGCCGCCGUAA
rnacentral:rRNA from 1 species